ACUGCUGUUAUCUAAUGGUUGGGUAUUUGAUGCUAUCAUGUAUUCCAUGGAUUCGGGCCAUCUCAUCCUCCUGCGCUCCGUAGCGGACAAUGUGACGGUGAGACAGCGUUGCUUAAAUAUUAAGAACAAAUUUUUUUUUAGGCUUUGAGUUGGAUUUUACAAGGUGUCCAUUGAACAAUAAUCACU